rnacentral:rRNA from 1 species
GACGUAGGGCGCGAGCGUUUGUCCGGAUUUAUUGGGCGUAAAGAGCUCGUAGGCGGCUCGUCGCGUCAGCUGUGAAAACCCGCAGCUUAACUGUGGGCUUGCAGCUGAUACGGGCGGGCUAGAGUUCGGUAGGGGAGACUGGAAUUCCUGGUGUAGCGGUGAAAUGCGCAGAUAUCAGGAAGAACACCCGUGGCGAAGGCGGCUCUCUGGUACGUGACUGACGCUGAGACGCGAAAGCGUGGGGAGCAAACAGG